rfam:Anopheles gambiae str. PEST chromosome 2R, whole genome shotgun sequence.
AAAAAGGUUUCAUUUGAAACCCAAAAAAGAUAAAAAAAUGUAAUGG